rnacentral:rRNA from 1 species
AUUGAACGCUGGCGGCAGGCUUAACAUAUGCAAGUCGAGCGGGGGAAGGUAGCUUGCUACUGGACCUAGCGGCGGACGGGUGAGUAAUGCUUAGGAAUCUGCCUAUUAGUGGGGGACAACAUCUCGAAAGGGAUGCUAAUACCGCAUACGUCCUACGGGAGAAAGCAGGGGAUCUUCGGACCUUGCGCUAAUAGAUGAGCCUAAGUCGGAUUAGCUAGUUGGUGGGGUAAAGGCCUACCAAGGCGACGAUCUGUAGCGGGUCUGAGAGGAUGAUCCGCCACACUGGGACUGAGACACGGCCCAGACUCCUACGGGAGGCAGCAGUGGGGAAUAUUGGACAAUGGGGGGAACCCUGAUCCAGCCAUGCCGCGUGUGUGAAGAAGGCCUUAUGGUUGUAAAGCACUUUAAGCGAGGAGGAGGCUACUUUAGUUAAUACCUAGAGAUAGUGGUCGUUACUCGCAGAAUAAGCACCGGCUAACUCUGUGCCAGCCGCCGCCGUAA